CAACCUCGGUACAGGCGGCGCACACAGUCCUCCGGACAGGAUGGCAGGCCGCAGGAGGAGCCGCCCGCAGAAGAGGACCUGCAGCAGAUUACGGUGCAGGUGGAGCCUGCAUGCAGUGUGGAGAUCGUGGUCCCCAAGGAGG